rnacentral:rRNA from 1 species
CUACGUGCCAGCAGCCGCGGUAAUACGUAGGUCCCGAGCGUUAUCCGGAUUUAUUGGGCGUAAAGCGAGCGCAGGCGGUUAGAUAAGUCUGAAGUUAAAGGCUGUGGCUUAACCAUAGUACGCUUUGGAAACUGUUUAACUUGAGUGCAAGAGGGGAGAGUGGAAUUCCAUGUGUAGCGGUGAAAUGCGUAGAUAUAUGGAGGAACACCGGUGGCGAAAGCGGCUCUCUGGCUUGUAACUGACGCUGAGGCUCGAAAGCGUGGGGAGCAAACAGGAUUAGAUACCCUGGUAGUCCACGCCGUAAACGAUGAGCACUAGGUGUCGGGGUCGCAAGACUUCGGUGCCGCAGUUAACGCAUUAAGUGCUCCGCCUGGGGAGUACGCACGCAAGUGUAAAACUCAAAGGAAUUGACGGGGACCCGCACAAGCAGCGGAGCAUGUGGUUUAAUUCGAAGCAACGCGAAGAACCUUACCAGGACUUGACAUCC